rnacentral:rRNA from 1 species
UACGGAGGGGGCUAGCGUUGUCCGGAAUUACUGGGCGUAAAGCGCACGUAGGCGGCUUUGCAAGUUAGAGGUGAAAGCCCGGGGCUCAACUCCGGAAUUGCCUUUAAAACUGCAUCGCUAGAAUUGUGGAGAGGUAAGUGGAAUUCCGAGUGUAGAGGUGAAAUUCGUAGAUAUUCGGAAGAACACCAGUGGCGAAGGCGACUUACUGGACACAUAUUGACGCUGAGGUGCGAAAGCGUGGGGAGCAAACAGG